UGCAGAACAUCUUUCUCCUCCUUCAGCGCAAAAAGUUCCUUAGAAGUUACUCUCAUCUGAUCCGAGAGAUCAUUUAGCUGUGACCUCACCAGCAUAUCUUCUUCUAGUACUUCCUCACAAAGUGUCAACUCCAGAUCCCUAACAUAAAACAGACUUUGAAGCUUUUCAAAAAGUUGUGCUUCUACGAAAGUAGUCUCUGAAGAUGCAGUCGGUGGAUCUUUUAUCUUUCUAAAGCACCUAUCUAUUAGCAUGGGUAGAUAAGAAGAUUCUUCAAUCCCUUCUUGAUCCGCCAUCAUCAUUCCAGAAGCCUCUAUAAGCAUGCUGAUCAUCUGAUCUUUCUCUGAUGAAAGUUGAUGGAACUUCUCAACUACAUUUUCAUAUUCAGUUGAGAGGUUGUCCAACUCCCUUCUAACAUAAUCCUUCUCUACUAGUUCUGUUGCAAGUGAAGCACUUAAAUGAUCCUUGUUCGAUGAUAUUUGAUGUGCCAUGCCAACAAUUUCCUCAUAUUCGUUUUUGAGUUGAUCUAACUCAUCCUUGAUGUAAUGCUUCUCUUGUUGUACAGUUGAAAGUGAAGCACUCAAGUGAUCUAUCUCAUCACGUGCAGCUUCUUUUAUUCUGGAAAUUUCAUUUUGCAACAUAUUUAUGUCAUCCUUAGCCUGGAAAAAGGACUCCUUAAGCCAAGCCAAGCGAGAAUCUAAAUCAGGAAAGGAGACGUUUUCAGGUAAAUCAAUUGCACAAAUUGUGUCUUUCAAUCUGCAGAAGUCCAUCGAAACAUUCCCCAGCUCUUUUCUUUCUUUAGCAAGCCAUCCAGCUCGUCCAACAAUAUCCAUUGACUGGAGUUCCUCAGGUACGUCAAUCUGGGAUAGGAUGUGGUCAAAUGCCUCUUUCAUAGCUGCAAGGUCGCUCUCCAACAGCGGGAUGCGCUCUAAAUCAGUAGACAAAGUGCUGAUCUGAUCCCUGCAGUUAGCAACUGUAGAUUCUUCAUGUUGUAACUCAAGCCUCAGCUUCUCAAUUUCCGAGUUCUUUUCCUCAAGAAGAAGUUUCAAGUUUUCCCGAUCUUGAACCAAGCCCUUUCCUUUCUUAACUGCCAUCGAUAACUUCUCCCUCAGCAGACUAGACUUCUCCUCUGAUUGCUCAAGAGCUUUUUGCAGAACAUCUUUCUCCUCCUUCAGUGCAAAAAGUUCCUCAGAAGUUACUUUCAACUGAUUCGAGAGACCAUUUAGCUGUGAUCUCACCAGCAUAUCUUCUUCUAGUACUUCCUCACAAAGUGUCAACUCCAGAUCCCUAACAUAGAACAGACUUUGAAGCUUUUCAAAUAGUUGUGCUUCUACGAAAGUAGUCUCUGAAGAUGCA
rnacentral:lncRNA from 1 species